GAUGAACGCUGGCGGCGUGCUUAACACAUGCAAGUCGAACGGUGAAGGCGGAGCUUGCUCUGCUGGAUCAGUGGCGAACGGGUGAGUAACACGUGAGCAAUCUGCCCCUGACUCUGGGAUAAGCGCUGGAAACGGCGUCUAAUACUGGAUACGAGCUGCGAAGGCAUCUUCAGCAGCUGGAAAGAAUUUCGGUCAGGGAUGAGCUCGCGGCCUAUCAGCUUGUUGGUGAGGUAAUGGCUCACCAAGGCGUCGACGGGUAGCCGGCCUGAGAGGGUGACCGGCCACACUGGGACUGAGACACGGCCCAGACUCCUACGGGAGGCAGCAGUGGGGAAUAUUGCACAAUGGGCGAAAGCCUGAUGCAGCAACGCCGCGUGAGGGACGACGGCCUUCGGGUUGUAAACCUCUUUUAGCAGGGAAGAAGCGAAAGUGACGGUACCUGCAGAAAAAGCGCCGGCUAACUACGUGC
rnacentral:rRNA from 1 species